rnacentral:rRNA from 1 species
GCCUAACGGCUGAACCAGCAACUUGCAGGAAUGAGAGUUAAUAUAAUAAGUUAUUAACUUGCUUGACUAGGUCUUAUAAAGUUCUGGAUAAAGCUUAUUAUGAAAACUUUAUAUCCAUAGGUCUCGACCAAAUCUUGUGCCAGCAGUCGCGGUAAGACAAGGGAGACGAGUGUUAUUCAUCUUUAACAGGUAUAUAGGGUACCUAGACGGUGUGCAAUGGCUUAAAUAAGUACCUGGUACACUUGAGUUUGAUAUGUGAGAGGAAUAUGUCGGAAUUGUUGGAGGAAAGAUGAAAUUUGUUAAUACCAAUAGGACUGAUAACGGCGAAGGCAAACCUCUAUGUACAUGUACUUGCUAUUUCACUAAUAGAGGAAAAAAUUUCUCUAAUAGAGGGAAUAGCAAUGUACUAUAACUGACGUUGAGGGACGAAGGCUCAGUGAGUGAAGAGGAUUAGAUACCCCCGUAACCUGGGCAGACAAUGAUGAGUGCCAUAGGUUGGCUUUAAGGCGGAACUAUAAAUGAAAGUGGAAGCACUCCACCUCAAGAGUAAUGUGGCAACGCAGGAACUGAAAUCAUUAGACCGUUUCUGAAACCAGUAGUGAAGU